rnacentral:rRNA from 1 species
GAUGAACGCUGGCGGCGUGCCUAAUACAUGCAAGUCGAGCGAACAGACGAGGAGCUUGCUCCUCUGACGUUAGCGGCGGACGGGUGAGUAACACGUGGAUAACCUACCUAUAAGACUGGGAUAACUUCGGGAAACCGGAGCUAAUACCGGAUAAUAUAUUGAACCGCAUGGUUCAAUAGUGAAAGACGGUUUUGCUGUCACUUAUAGAUGGAUCCGCGCCGCAUUAGCUAGUUGGUAAGGUAACGGCUUACCAAGGCAACGAUGCGUAGCCGACCUGAGAGGGUGAUCGGCCACACUGGAACUGAGACACGGUCCAGACUACUACGGGAGGCAGCAGUAGGGAAUCUUCCGCAAUGGGCGAAAGCCUGACGGAGCACAGCCGCGUGAGUGAUAAAGGUCUUCGGAUCGUAAAACUCUGUUAUUAGGGAAGAACAAAUGUGUAAGUAACUAUGCACGUCUUGACGGUACCUAAUCAGAAAGCCACGGCUAACUACGUG